rnacentral:rRNA from 1 species
UACGGCGAGCGAGCGGGAAGAGCUCAAAUUUGAAAUCUGGUGGCCUCAGGUCAUCCGAGUUGUAAUCUAUAGAAGUGUUUUCCGUGCUGGCCCAUGUACAAGUCCCUUGGAACAGGGCGUCAUAGAGGGUGAGAAUCCCGUCCUUGACAUGGACUACCAGUGCUCUGUGAUACACUUUCAACGAGUCGAGUUGUUUGGGAAUGCAGCUCAAAAUGGGUGGUAAAUUCCAUCUAAAGCUAAAUAUUGGCGAGAGACCGAUAGCGAACAAGUACCGUGAGGGAAAGAUGAAAAGCACUUUGGAAAGAGAGUUAAACAGUAUGUGAAAUUGUUGAAAGGGAAACGAUUGAAGUCAGUCGUGCUCAAUGGACUCAGCCGUUCUGCGGUGUAUUUCCAUUGGGUGGGGUCAACAUCAGUUUUGAUCGCUGGAUAAAGGCAGGAGGAAUGUAGCACCCCCGGGUGAACUUAUAGCCUCUUGUCACAUACAGUGGUUGGGACUGAGGAACGCAGCAUGCCUUUAUGGCCGGGAUUCGUCCACGUACAUGCUUAGGAUGUUGACAUAAUGGCUUUAAACGACCCGU